rnacentral:misc_RNA from 1 species
AGAAGAUCUUACACCUACUCCUCUUCUCAAAACCCUUAUCAACAUCUCCCUGUUCAUUAGUUUUUCCCUUCUCAUUUUCCAUAUUCCCAACUCCCACUUUAUUAGUCUCUCCCUUCUUAUUUUCCCUAUCCCCAUCUCCCACUUCAAUUGUCUCUCACAUUUCAUUUUCUAUAUCCCCAGUUCCAGUUUUAACAGUUUGUCCUAAUUCUAAGUCUCCAUCUCUCCCAUCUGCAUGAAACUCCCUAACUUCAACACCAUCAAACACAAUAAUAGGUAAGCCUGCUU